AGUGAACGCUGGCGGUAGGCCUAACACAUGCAAGUCGAACGGCAGCACAGUAAGAGCUUGCUCUUACGGGUGGCGAGUGGCGGACGGGUGAGGAAUACAUCGGAAUCUACUUUUUCGUGGGGGAUAACGUAGGGAAACUUACGCUAAUACCGCAUACGACCUACGGGUGAAAGCAGGGGAUCUUCGGACCUUGCGCGAUUGAAUGAGCCGAUGUCGGAUUAGCUAGUUGGCGGGGUAAAGGCCCACCAAGGCGACGCUCCGUAGCUGGUCUGAGAGGAGGAUCAGCCACACUGGAACUGAGACACGGUCCAGACUCCUACGGGAGGCAGCAGUGGGGAAUAUUGGACAAUGGGCGCAAGCCUGAUCCAGCCAUACCGCGUGGGUGAAGAAGGCCUUCGGGUUGUAAAGCCCUUUUGUUGGGAAAGAAAAGCAGCAGGUUAAUACCCCGCUGUUCUGACGGUACCCAAAGAAUAAGCACCGGCCAACUUCGU
rnacentral:rRNA from 1 species